rnacentral:rRNA from 1 species
UACGUAGGGUGCAAGCGUUAAUCGGAAUUACUGGGCGUAAAGCGUGCGCAGGCGGUUAUGUAAGGCAGAUGUGAAAUCCCCGGGCUUAACCUGGGAAUGGCAUUUGAGACUGCAUGGCUAGAGUGUGUCAGAGGGGGGUAGAAUUCCACGUGUAGCAGUGAAAUGCGUAGAGAUGUGGAGGAACACCGAUGGCGAAGGCAGCCCCCUGGGUCAAGAUUGACGCUCAUGCACGAAAGCGUGGGGAGCAAACAGG